CCCAAGAUGCCGCUACAUAAGCCGUCGCCAUGAACCCUACCGAAACCCACAUCAUCCUGUGUGUGGCCACCAAUAAUCUCUUUAAAGGUUUCAUCUUGAAAGGUAUGAUGCUAACAAGAAGAAUAACUAUGCACAACGAUGUGAACAGUGCGAUGUUGUUGCAUAUUGCAAAGACUUUGAACGCUGCUGUAUUGCCUACAAUCGAUUUCCCUCUCCAUGGCCCAUCUUCGUAGACGCCGCCAGGAGGGUUUAUCCCACCGGCAUAAGAAACUGAAGCAAUCAGGACUGCCACGAUCGCGAUCGUGUUUCUUGCAUUUUAGAUCGUUUAUGAAAUGGAUUGGCGUGGAUCUCAAGUACUUCAGUGUUCUUAGAAUCCAGCUCGGUAUCGAACCUCAGCCAGCUGCAAAACCCAUCUUGUUCUUGUAGCUGAUAUCCACUAUCUUCUUACCAACAAUGUAACGUAGCAGCUGAAAUUUAUCCAGUAGGGAUAUGUCAGAGGAGAUACAACAAAAUACAAGAAAUUCUGAAGCAGAACUGAAUCAUAUUCCUUUUUAUUUCUCUAUGGAUUUUCAACUCAUUAGAUAAUAAGUGGACAUGCUCAUGUUAGUCUA